UUACCCAAAUAUGGGUAACUUGGCAUUACCCAUAUUUGGCUGAAAAAUAAAAGUGUUCGUCUAAAAACGACUGACUAUCAAGUUGGAGCAGCAUCCUAGGCAGGAAAUUCUUAAGAAAAUUGGAUUUAUUUGAUAUUAAAAGGUCACAAUUAUGAUGGAUAUCCUUGUAAAAGAUCGUGAGCGAGAUCGUGAGUUGCAACUUGCAGCGAGGGUUAUCUGGUUCCAGAGCCCCCAUCUAGCACAAACAAUCAAGAGCCUAGGUUCGCUCUACUGGAUUACUGGUACCGUCUUCCUUUCAAACCACCGCUUCUGUUUCCCAGAACUCCGUAACCAGAUCAAAGAUCCUCAUAAGCUGAACCAUGAACCUAAUUCUAUUUGCAAAGGUCACAAUAAUGAUUGUUGUU